CUGGAGUGCUGCUCGGAUGCAGCUAGAGAGGGGAGCAGAUGUCACGAGCGGGGACAACGUCUUCUCUUCCUGACCGUCACUCUGCCCUGCAUGCAAUCCAAUACUUCACAGAAGAAACUUAAAAGCUAACAAAGAGAAUUCAUGAAUAGGAAAGUAUAAAACCACAUUUCGGUUACAUAACUUGGCAGGAUUCAAAUGAGAAAGCAAUCACUUUAUUAAUUAAUGAAUGCUCUCGUUUGAUUCUGUGAAGGGCACGGGACCCUGGUGCUCUUUCUUCCCAGUGAGUCGCCAGCACCCUGCUGCUCCAGAAGCAGGCGCUCAUUAGAGAGUCAGGACACGGACUGAGCCCUUCCCACCGGCGUCCCACGCACAGGCGAGGAAGGCAGGCAGGCGGACUUGCCCGGGCUUCGCUGCAGGCCCCACGGGGAGCAGGAGGUGGAGAGGCUGCGAGCUGCGCGCCAGUCGAGGGAGAGCCCAGAAAGCCUGGGACAGGAGCGCUGUCCUGGGGCUGAAGAGACACGCAGGAGAGAAACCAGCGUUCCCAGCACAGGAAGGACACCCCGCAGCAGGAGGCUGCAGGACUCACCUGUGAAGUCUUCACUGCGGACUUCGGAGCUUCUGUCCUAGAUGUCCGUCUGUCUCCCCAGGCUCAGGACACCAUCAGCCUCUGCUUCCUCGGAAGAGGGCGAGCUCUGUUCCCUUCGCUCUGUCUCCUGAAGUUCCGCAGACACAGGGCCCAGAGACCCCAUGGGCGCUCUUCAGUCUCGCUGCUGCUCCUGUUCGCUUCUGCCGGACCGCUCCAGGGCGCCUGUCCUCCGGUUCGGGGAUUCCUUCUUCCGCUCAGUCUGUUACUGGAAUUCUGUUGCAUUCUUGUCAGGAACCACAUUUUCAGCUCUAAAGUUUCUGUCUGGC
rnacentral:lncRNA from 1 species